AGAGUUUGAUCAUGGCUCAGAUUGAACGCUGGCGGCAGGCCUAACACAUGCAAGUCGAGCGGUAGAGAGAAGCUUGCUUCUCUUGAGAGCGGCGGACGGGUGAGUAAUGCCUAGGAAUCUGCCUAGUGGUGGGGGAUAACGUUCGGAAACGGACGCUAAUACCGCAUACGUCCUACGGGAGAAAGCGGGGGAUCUUCGGACCUCGCGCCAUUAGAUGAGCCUAGGUCGGAUUAGCUAGUUGGUGAGGUAAUGGCUCACCAAGGCGACGAUCCGUAACUGGUCUGAGAGGAUGAUCAGUCACACUGGAACUGAGACACGGUCCAGACUCCUACGGGAGGCAGCAGUGGGGAAUAUUGGACAAUGGGCGAAAGCCUGAUCCAGCCAUGCCGCGUGUGUGAAGAAGGUCUUCGGAUUGUAAAGCACUUUAAGUUGGGAGGAAGGGUAGUAACCUAAUACGUUGCCACUUUGACGUUACCGACAGAAUAAGC
rnacentral:rRNA from 1 species